ensembl:piRNA 21ur-2569 ncRNA
UCGGAAUGGGUUCAAGUCAGC